CCUACGGGUGGCAGCAGUGGGGAAUAUUGGACAAUGGGCGAAAGCCUGAUCCAGCCAUGCCGCGUGUGUGAAGAAGGCCUUCUGGUUGUAAAGCACUUUCAGUGGGGAAGAAAGCCUUGGGGCUAAUACCCUCGAGGAAGGACAUCACCCACAGAAGAAGCACCGGCUAACUCCGUGCCAGCAGCCGCGGUAAUACGGAGGGUGCGAGCGUUAAUCGGAAUUACUGGGCGUAAAGCGCGCGUAGGCGGUCUGAUAAGCCGGUUGUGAAAGCCCCGGGCUCAACCUGGGAACGGCAUCCGGAACUGUCAGGCUAGAGUGCAGGAGAGGAAGGUAGAAUUCCCGGUGUAGCGGUGAAAUGCGUAGAGAUCGGGAGGAAUACCAGUGGCGAAGGCGGCCUUCUGGACUGACACUGACGCUGAGGUGCGAAAGCGUGGGUAGCAAACAGGAUUAGAUACCCGAGUAGUC
rnacentral:rRNA from 1 species